GGGCAUGUGGUGUAGUUGGUUAUUACGCUCGCUUAGCAUCUGCAGUAGUGAGCACAGCUUGCGAGAGGGGUCCGGUUCAAUCCCGGACAUGUCCA